rnacentral:rRNA from 1 species
AGUGAACGCUGGCGGUAGGCCUAACACAUGCAAGUCGAACGGCAGCACAGUAAGAGCUUGCUCUUACGGGUGGCGAGUGGCGGACGGGUGAGGAAUAUAUCGGAAUCUACUUUUUCGUGGGGGAUAACGUAGGGAAACUUACGCUAAUACCGCAUACGACCUACGGGUGAAAGCAGGGGAUCUUCGGACCUUGCGCGAUUGAAUGAGCCGAUGUCGGAUUAGCUAGUUGGCGGGGUAAAGGCCCACCAAGGCGACGAUCCGUAGCUGGUCUGAGAGGAUGAUCAGCCACACUGGAACUGAGACACGGUCCAGACUCCUACGAGAGGCAGCAGUGGGGAAUAUUGGACAAUGGGCGCAAGCCUGAUCCAGCCAUACCGCGUGGGUGAAGAAGGCCUUCGGGUUGUAAAGCCCUUUUGUUGGGAAAGAAAAGCAGCAGGUUAAUACCCCGCUGUUCUGACGGUACCCAAAGAAUAAGCACCGGCUAACUUCGUG